rnacentral:rRNA from 1 species
UACGUAGGGUGCAAGCGUUAAUCGGAAUUACUGGGCGUAAAGCGUGCGCAGGCGGUUGUGCAAGACAGAUGUGAAAUCCCCGGGCUUAACCUGGGAACUGCAUUUGUGACUGCAAGACUAGAGUGUGUCAGAGGGGGGUGGAAUUCCACGUGUAGCAGUGAAAUGCGUAGAGAUGUGGAGGAACACCGAUGGCGAAGGCAGCCCCCUGGGAUAACACUGACGCUCAGGCACGAAAGCGUGGGGAGCAAACAGG